UGGCAGAAUCUGUAAAGCUCAGGAGGGAUAGCGCCAUGAAUCAUAUAUUAUAUCAUCAUACAUAUUACUACAUAAUAUAUAUACAUAUAAUAUAAACUUUGGAUGUUAAAAAUGAAUAGAUUAUAAGAAUAUUAUGAAAUUAGUGGCGCUAUCUAUCCUGAGUUUCACGGGUUCUUCUU
rfam:Beta vulgaris subsp. vulgaris Bvchr7.sca021.con0426.1, whole genome shotgun sequence.